AAAGCAGACGAGGCGAAGUUUAUGCUCUUUGAAGCUGCAAUUAGUUGAUUCAUCAAUUAGUGCGUCGAUUAAAGCAUCAAUUAGCAACAGUUUGUGGUUAAAAUGACAAAAUACUCUCCUGUUAUCUGCAUUUUAAUCGUUGCUUUUGGGCAGAUGUGUGUAAAAACGGUGAAUUAAGUUGAUUCAUUAAUUAGUGCAUUGGAAAAAAACAACUAAAGUCACUUUUAAAAACCUUUUUUUUCCCCAAACAUCAUGAAUAUCAGCGUCUCUAAUGUUUCUCGUUAAAUGUGUUGAAGCAGCCUGAUGUCGUGAAGCUUCCAGGCUGUUUAAUCACAAACAUGAAGCAGCUUUGAUGAAACUCGACUUUACGAGAAGUCAGUUCGAUAAAAACCUGAAUCGUUUGGAUUUAGCUGCUGAGCUGAUUCGGUGCAGCGACGACGUGACGGUUUGAUGUCGUGCUGCUUUAGAGGCUCGUUAUGAAAGACGUUAACGGACUGAAUGUUUGAUUAUUAUUCUCUCAGAAGCUGCAGCAUCACUUUGAAUUUUUUUUGGGGUUUAAACUUCCACCUGUGAAGCUGCCGAGCUCUUUAUUCUCUCUUUAUUCUCUCUUUAUUCUCUCUGUGUCGUCGUGUCGUCGGCCUGCCACUUCCUUCCUGCAGAGUCAAGGUCGCGCCCUUGGAGCGCUCAUCCCCGUCGCCAUGGCAACGGCAUGUCCGUCGCCUCCGGACUCGACGUCGGCGCCGAAUUAACGCCUCGACGUGGAAACUGAUCCUCGGCGGUGAACAGGCUUUACAGCAGCGCAGGUUUAACUCGUCCUGAUUCGUCUCCGUCACUGGUUUUAAUCGUUCCUUUUCUGGUUUUCUUCCAUUUUUGACUCUUUCUGUGACGUUUUUCCUCCUCGACUGCAGAUAAAAUGUGUUUUCUCUCCUCAGCGGUGAAAUCAAAUCACUGUAGCGGCUGGAUGUUUGGUUUGAACGUGAAUCUUCAGCUUUAGCUCAGAUGAAACGCUCCAUCCUGCUGUUCGAUGGAGCGUUUUAUCUGCAACAGGAGCAACAAAAACUUGCCUUAAAAGUCAUUUCUGAACUUUUUUUUUAACAAUUACUGACUAGAUUUAAGUUUUCUUGGAAGAACAUAAACUAAAGCUAGAAGUCACUGAACCGAUCCUGUGACCCGCCGAUGAAAUAAGACAAAACUGUUUCCGUGGCGACAAAUCUUCAGUUCUUCUGUUUCUUCCUCGUCUUAGGAGGCGUUUAUUUUGGUUUAAUUGUCAUCGAAGCCCAAAUUCCAGUUGAAUCAACUCCGGCUGUGGCCUCAGUUCAGUCUGUGGGGGUUUAAAGUUCAACACAAACUCUAGUUUAGUCGGAUUUCGGAACUCCGACUUGCUCAAAACAACCUGAAAUCAGAGUUAAAGUGUCGGAGAAGCUCAGAAUUCACUCCAGUUUAUUUAUAAAUCCUGCAGUUGUUUUGGUUUCAAACAGAUAAAAACAGAGUUACGGCUGAAGUUUAAAGAAAUCCCGAAACAUCCACUUCUGGUUUUGUGUUUUGCUGCUGAAACAGGAGAGAAGUUUAAAAGUCACGCUUCAUGUUUUCAUGUUAAAAGACGGUUAAAGGAUCCAUUUGGCUGCAGAACGUACAAAAAACCAACAAAAACCAACAUAAAUGUGGGAUGAAUUCGUCCUAAUGUCACUAACACUAACCCUCUCGAAGCCUUUUUUCUGCACAGAAAUGGUUCAAACCUUCAGAACAAACAUCAGAUUUAUUUCUGUUUUAUCUUGUUUGUGUGAACUCUGCCUCCUCCGUCAUCACCACACACACACACACACACACACACACACACACACUGGUUGUAACACACACACGCCGUCCCUGGACAGCCGAGCAGCAGAACGACGUCACCGUGUUCGGUUUGUAAAUGGAGAUCUGUUAUUAAAACGUGAAACCUGAAA